UACAGAGGGGGCAAGCGUUGUUCGGAAUUACUGGGCGUAAAGGGCGCGUAGGCGGCCUGUUAAGUCGAACGUGAAAUCCCCGGGCUCAACCCGGGAACUGCGUCCGAUACUGGCAGGCUUGAAUCCGGGAGAGGGAUGCGGAAUUCCAGGUGUAGCGGUGAAAUGCGUAGAUAUCUGGAGGAACACCGGUGGCGAAGGCGGCUUCCUGGACCGACACUGACGCUGAGGCGCGAAAGCCAGGGGAGCAAACGGG
rnacentral:rRNA from 1 species